CUUCCUGGAGGCUUUUUGUUGUGUCUUCUUGAAAGUAGGAAUCUUGGCGGGUCAUCCUUUAAGCUGAAAGGCCAGGAAAUCAUAAAUUUAAAAUUGGCCAGCGCCUAUUGAAGAUCCCUCCAAAACCAGAAUAAGGCAUCCUUACAAUGGCAGGAAUUCUCAGACCACACUGUGACAGCGCCGUGCUGGACUGGCCAUAGUCAUUCAAGCAGAUGAGACGGAGAACAAGGAAGGAAGCCCCGCCGAUUCGCGGGCUGGUCCUGGCCAGCGUGCUAAUCCCGUAGCUUGAUAGGACACCCUGCCUGGAUCCCAACUGGCUACUCAUCAGUUCACAGACACUUACUGCGCGCCUACUGGAAAUGCAAUGAAGGAGGCACCUGGCAUCCAAAGGAGUGUGGCUGGAGGAGAAAGUGAGUGGCGAAAAACACAAGCGAAUAAAAAUGUUAAGGAGAUAAUGUGAAAGGACUGGGGACACCGUGAGGAAAAGGCCAGGCACCAAGAACGCAGAGGGCCUGACUGUCCCCUUUCACCUCCGUGUCCCUGUUUAUACAGAGGAGGACAUUACCGGCGCGGACCUACCUCCGAGGCAGUCCCGCCGCCCGCGGGCACCGCGUGCGCACGGAUGAGGAAACACGCGCCGUAAUUUGCGCCCGGGAGUCGGCCUGACCCGUCGAGGGCCCCGCCGGCGUCCGCGGCUGGCCUCGGCUCCUGGCUCCUGCGGUGGCAGCAGCUGGCUCGCUUUCCGGGCGGCCACCACCUCCAGCCGCAGCUGUCGGUGCUAUUUGCAGCUCUCCACAUCCUGAGAGCUGGCCGCGGGGCCGUUCCUUGGAGGGUGUGAGUAAAACACAGGCAGAGGGGGAGAGGGAGAUCGCUGGGAAACUGCGAGGAGAGACGGGCUUCCCUGGACCAGGGAGGGGCCUGGGGAAGUUGCGAAACACCGGCCUACAGGGUCUGGAGCAGCAAACGGUUGGCGGAGGCUGCCUCAGUGGGUCAUGGAACAUGACAGCCGCCAUUCCUCGUCCAAGACAACCAAAAGCAAGGAAGCGGGCAGAACUACUCAUAAAGUCUGGCAGUGGACUAACCUCCUCCCGUCAUCUCCUCAGAAACCCACCCCUACCCAUUACCCUCUAUCUUAAGGCCCUUUGCGGCAUCUGGAAUAGUCUUUCUUAGGUAUUUGUUUACUUGUUCAUUGUCUUCUCGGUUAAAAUGCAAGCCCAAAGAAACCUUUGCCAGGGAGGCAAUUGGUCUGUUUUGUUUACCUCUCGGUCUCCAGGGCUCAGCACCCCGCCUGGUUCGUUUGUAAAUGAAUGAAUGAGUUCAGUGCCAGCAGGCUGCCUACUCAUCAAUCAAGUAGUUGGAUUUCUCAACUUUACCUUUGGAGAUGAUGUUGUCAUACACCUACGAAUUUAUUUGAGGAGGUCGGGGGGUCUCGCAAUAUUGC